rnacentral:rRNA from 1 species
ACGGAGGGUGCAAGCGUUAUCCGGAAUCAUUGGGUUUAAAGGGUCCGUAGGUGGACUAAUAAGUCAGUGGUGAAAGUCUGCAGCUUAACUGUAGAAUUGCCAUUGAUACUGUUAGUCUUGAAUUGUUAUGAAGUAACUAGAAUAUGUAGUGUAGCGGUGAAAUGCAUAGAUAUUACAUAGAAUACCGAUUGCGAAGGCAGGUUACUAAUAAUACAUUGACACUGAUGGACGAAAGCGUGGGGAGCGAACAGG